AUUGAACGCUGGCGGCAAGCCUAACACAUGCAAGUCGAGUGGAGCGGCGGACGGGUGAGUAAUGCCUCGGAAUCUGCCUGGUAGUGGGGGAUAACGUCCGGAAACGGGCGCUAAUACCGCAUACUAUCAGAUGAGCCUAGGUCGGAUUAGCUAGUUGGUGGGGUAAAGGCCUACCAAGGCGACGAUCCGUAAAUGGUCUGAGAGGAUGCUCAGGCACACUGGAACUGAGACACGGUCCAGACUCCUACGGGAGUGAGAAGUGGGGAAUAGUUGACAAUGGGCGAAAGCCUGAGCCAGCCAUGCCGCGGGUGUGAAGAAGGUCUUCGGAUUGUAAAGCUCUUUAAGUUGGGAGGCGUUACCAACAGAAUAAGCACCGGCUAACUUCGUGCCAGCGGCCGCGGUAAUAC
rnacentral:rRNA from 1 species